AUCAUUUUGGUAUAGUUGUUAGUGACACUGUCUCCUGUGCAGUUGGGCCUGGGUUCGAAUCCCGGAAAAGCAUGGAUG